UUGUUCGUCCUCUUCUCUCCUCUUUCCUCAUUUCAUCAGAUUCAAUUCUUUCUCCUUUCAUCUCAAUUCUUCUCUGUUUUUUAUUUUUCUUUUGUAACAAUCAGAGGAGAAUGGUGGUGGUCUGACAAAUUGGACCUUAUUCCUUGUGUAUGUUUACUGAAAUCAAUAUAUCUUGCGAUUAUGGAGCUCUAAUCUCCAUUUUUUUCUUAUGAGUCUAAUGCCUCUCCUGGAUUUAAAGCCAAUGGAACAUCUGAGAGGCAAAGAUGUUGUUGUUUGCACUCCUCCACCACGUCUUCCUGUGCAAAGAAUAAUGGUUACUCCUGCUUCCGCUCCGUUCCAGGUCUGUCUUGGAACCAUUGCUCAGAGGUUUCAUUUUGUAUUCAUGAUUGCUGUUUGUUGUAAUUGUAGAUGCUUUAGCUGUUAACUCUGAUGGUCGUUACUUGACGACUAGAGGAGUUGAUCGCCAUGUUCAUAAGGUCCAAUUUGUCUCAGCUUUUAUGAUUAUGUGUCUACAGGCCUUUACAGGUCACAGGAACAUCUGCCUCUGACUCUUUGCGUUCUAUAUAAUAUAUAUUCUGUAGUUUGUGUAUUGUGUUACAGGAAGGUAGACAAGGCAGAGAAGCUUGAUGGAGGAGAAGGUGGCAAAAGGGGUGAG